AUGGAGGAGAAAAUGCAAGUAAUAAACAGUCAAACCGAAAUAGAUUCUUAUGUAAAACAAGCAGAAGACGAGUCACACUCCAAGUUCGUCUGUAUAUCCGUGGACCGAGGCUUCAGUGACAAAGAUUGGCAGCCUUUACCCACUAACAGAGUGUACUGGCAGUGGUCGGGAGGAGGUUGGACGCCAUCCAUUGAAUUCACCGGGGUCCCCUUUAUGUUUGUUGGGGGCAAGAGACUCGGGUGUUAUCGAGGCAAAGACCGCGCAGUGGCCCAGAAGAAGAAAUAUGCAGAGGAGAAGGCCAAAAGGAUGAUGGGGGAAGACUACAGCACUUUAAGCCACAUGUCUCGUUCACAACAUACUAAAAAAGUGGGAUGUCCCGCCACAAUAUCCAUCAGCAAGAUUGCAAUGUUUCCUAAAUUCAAGCUCAGUGACAACAGGGAGAGGACUCGGAAGAGAACUUCAAAGGCACUGAGACUGGCUUUACAAAAAGACCCAGUGGUUUGGGAGAGCAACUUCGUCAUCACACACCACAGUGAGCACAGUGGACAUGAGAGAGAUGAAAUGGUCAAUGGAAAGAACAAAAGGAGAAAAAGACAAAAGGAUCAUGGGACAACAGUCUGCGAAUCACCAACUCAGAAAAGAGCCAGAAAAGCAUAUCUGAAGAAAAAGUGCUUCAAACUCACCAAACGGCUCCUGGACAAACUCUAUUUUAUUAAUGACCAAGACAAACUGGAGGAACUUUCUGGAAAACUCAAUAACUUGUUGGAAGACCUCACACCAUUCAGCAACAGCGAGAAUGAGAGCCCGCUGCAAAUGGAAGCAAAAAGAGCAAGCGCUUUUACGACUUCAACACGGACACAAAAUACAAUUCAGAGGUUAAAAUCCAAAUACACAGAAAGAAUAGGGACGAAAGUAUGCAGGAAGUCAAUGACCCAAGUCCCCGCUUGGCCCGUGCAUACUGUAACUAAUACGUUGUGAUGAUCGAUUAGUAAACUACUGAAGUGCAUUGUACCAUUAUAUUACAUAUUUCUGUGUAUUGUAAAUAUUGAACUCAUAAACUUUAUGAUGACAACUACAGUCGCUGUCUUAGAAAAUUAUUAUUAAUUAUUGUGGUCUUUUAGGGCAUUUUAUUAUGUACUAUAAUCUCAAAAUUGUUACUUUGAAAGACUCAGAGGUAUGUGUAUAGAGCACGUAUUUUUAACUGUUAUGUAUUUAUUUUAUACACAAUCCACAGACUUGUACUUAAGAGGUCAUUUUCAAAGCAUUUCCAAAGCUCAUGGGCAAAAUGAGGAGCAUGUGCUUGGAUAGCAGCAGCAGGCAGUUAUUGUGCGCUGUUUACUUAUGACUCAUUUAUAUAUCAGAUUUGACAGCAUAAAUGGUCAAUUAGAGGCACCGUGCCUACAUAAAGCUAUAUUUUAUUUUCCAGCUUGCACUUGCUAUUUAGCACCUGUUUUGAUAAAUUAUGUCCUUGGAGUUAUUUGAGCACACAGUGCAGAGCCGUCAUUAUACUAUCCUCUGGUAUACAGUAAGAGGUAUAAUUUACAUUUGUUUGCACCGUGUGCUUUAGCAGUGCAUUACAUCUAACAGUACAGUGCUAUUUUGUAUCAUGUUAAUAACACAUUUAAGUGUGUCUAUUGGAAUACUGCUUAAAUGUGUUUUUAAAAAGCAC
ensembl:lncRNA